rnacentral:rRNA from 1 species
UACAGGGGGUGCAAACGUUGCUCGGAAUUAUUGGGCGUAAAGAGCUCGUAGGCGGUUCGGUAAGUCGGGUGUGAAACCUCCAGGCUCAACCUGGAGAGGCCACCUGAUACUGCUGUGACUCGAGUCCGGUAGGGGAGCGUGGAAUUCCUGGUGUAGCGGUGAAAUGCGCAGAUAUCAGGAGGAACACCAGCGGCGAAGGCGGCGCUCUGGGCCGGAACUGACGCUGAGGAGCGAAAGCGUGGGUAGCAAACAGG